ensembl:ncRNA F22B3.18 ncRNA
CAAAUUUGAGAUCAAUAAUGGAAUAAUGUGGAUGUUGGGCGCGAAAUGAGGGAGCUCCCGAAGCACACACAAAUGUGAUGAGGGUGUCUACGCAUUUUUAAUUAGGACAACGGCGACAACGACGACGAAGACAUUUCCUUGGGGGACCAAUCAGUUUGCGUGUG